GUAAAAAGCUCGAGUGAGUAACUGAUCAUAGAGCCAAAAAGUUCCAUAUAGUCUUCUUGGAGAGGAGGAGGAAACAAUGGAGAUUGAGGAAUUGAGCAGUUAUGAGGCACUGCCACUUCUCUCCUUGAAUCAUGUUUCUUUGCUGUGCAGAUCAGUGUGGGCUUCCGUGAGGUUCUACGAGGAUGUUUUAGGCUUUGUUCUCAUCAAACGACCUUCUUCUUUCAAUUUCAAUGGAGCUUGGUUGUACAAUUAUGGCAUUGGGAUACAUUUGAUUGAGAACCCAGCCAUUGAUGAAUUUGACCCCAUUACUGAACCUCGUCCAAUUAAUCCCAAGGAUAAUCACAUCUCCUUUCAGUGCACUGAUGUUGGGCUUGUUAAGAGGAGGUUGCAAGAACUGGGAAUGAGGUACGUGACAGCAGUGGUGGAAGAUGAUGGGAACAGAGUGGAUCAGGUUUUCUUUCAUGACCCAGAUGGUUACAUGGUUGAACUCUGCAAUUGUGAGAACAUCCCAAUUAUCCCACUCUCCUCCUGCUCAUUCAGGCCCAGAAACAUGGGAAGCUUCAAGAGAGCAGCACCCAACAAAUGUGGGUUUAUGGAGAAUGUGAUGAUGGAGAACUUGAGCAUGGACAUGAUGAACAUUUCUUUCUGAUCAGCUCCCAGAUUUGGGAGAAGCAAAAAAAAAAAAAAUCUUCCAAUUUAUUUUGUUGCUUUAACAAAUAUCAAAUUCCCUUUUAUCGGGUCUUUUAUAUAUAUAUGGCAAUUGUGCCAUCAAGUGUUUGUAUUUGGUCAUGUGAGUGCUUAAUAAUAAGAUUGUAAGAAAGAAAUAUGAGUUGGGUUUGUGUCUGUUAAUACCCUAAAGCCAAACAUGUGGCUUUUCAAUUUCUGUAGUGAAAAUAUGUUUGUAUCAUUAUACUGUUUAUUCAAUGAGACUCCCAGCAAUCUGUUUUGUGUUUAAAA
rnacentral:misc_RNA from 1 species